GACGAACGCUGGCGGCGUGCUUAACACAUGCAAGUCGUACGGUAAGGCCCUUUCGGGGGUCCACGAGUGGCGAACGGGUGAGUAACACGUGAGUAACCUGCCCACAACUUUGGGAUAACGCUAGGAAACUGGUGCUAAUACUGGAUAUGUGCUCCUGCUGCAUGGUGGGGGUUGGAAAGCUCCGGCGGUUGUGGAUGGACUCGCGGCCUAUCAGCUUGUUGGUGGGGUAGUGGCCUACCAAGGCGGCGACGGGUAGCCGGCCUGAGAGGGUGACCGGCCACAUUGGGACUGAGAUACGGCCCAGACUCCUACGGGAGGCAGCAGUGGGGAAUAUUGCACAAUGGGCGUAAGCCUGAUGCAGCAACGCCGCGUGCGGGAUGACGGCCUUCGGGUUGUAAACCGCUUUCAGCAGGGACGAAGCUUUUUGUGACGGUACCUGCAGAAGAAGCACCGGCUAACUACGUG
rnacentral:rRNA from 1 species